UAGUCCACGCCGUAAACGAUGAGUGCUAGCCGUUGGGGGGUUACCCUUCAGUGGCGCAGCUAACGCAUUAAGCACUCCGCCUGGGGAGUACGGUCGCAAGAUUAAAACUCAAAGGAAUUGACGGGGACCCGCACAAGCGGUGGAACAUGUGGUUUAAUUCGAGGCAACGCGAAGAACCUUACCAGGGCUUGACUUGCCUGUCGCGGACUCCAGAAAAGGAGUCCUUCAGUUCGGCUGGACAGUGCACAGGUGCUGCAUGGCUGUCGUCAGCUCGUGUCGUGAGAUGUUGGGUUAAGUCCCGCAACGAGCGCAACCCUCAUCCUCUGUUGCUAACAGGUUAUGCUGAGAACUCUGAGAAACUGCCGGUGAUAAGCCGGAGGAAGGUGGGGGAUGACGUCAAGUCCUCAUGGCCCUUACGCCCUGGGGCUACACACGUGUUACAA
rnacentral:rRNA from 1 species